rnacentral:misc_RNA from 1 species
GAAAUGCGAUAAGUAAUGUGAAUUGCAGAAUUCAGUGAAUCAUCGAAUCCUUGAACGCACAUUGCGCCCGCCAGUAUUCUGGCGGGCAUGCCUGUCCGAGCGUCAUUUCAACCAUCAAGCCCCCGGGCUUGUGUUGGGGACCUGCGGCUGCCCGCAGGCCCUGAAAACCAGUGGCGGGCUCGCUGUCACACCGAGCGUAGUAGCAAUCACCUCGCUCAGGACGUGCUGCGGGUUCCGGCCGUUAAACAGCCUUACAAAACCCAAGGUUGACCUCGGAUCAGGUAGGAAGACCCGCUGAACUUAAGC